rnacentral:rRNA from 1 species
GAUGAACGCUGGCGGCGUGCUUAAUACAUGCAAGUCGAGCGAACGGACGAGAAGCUUGCUUCGCUGAUGUUAGCGGCGGACGGGUAAGUCAUACGUGGAUAACCCACCUAUAAGACUUGGAUCACUUCGGGAAACUGGAGCUAAUACCGGAUCAUAUUUUGAACCGCAUUGUUCAAAAGUGAAAGACGGUCUUGCUGUCACUUUUACAUGGAUCCGCGCUGCAUUAGCUAGUUGGUCAGGUAACGGCCUACCAAGGCAACGAUGCAUAGCCGACCUGGGAGGGUGGUAGGCCACCCUGGAAGUGGAACAGCGUCCCGGCUCCUGAGGGAGGGAGCAGUAGGGAAUCGUACGCAAUGGGGGAAAGCCUGACGGAGCAACGGCGAGUGAGUGAUGGAGGUCUUCGGAUCGGAAAACUGUGUUAUUAGGGGAGAACAUAUGUGUAAGUAAAUGUGCAGAUCUUGACGGUACCUAAACAGAAAGCCACGGCUAACUACGUG